AGAUGUGGGUAGGAAAGCUAAUGGAGAAAGGCAGAUGUAGAGUAAAAAUUUUACUAGUGGUACACUAAGUAGAGCAGCACUUGACAUAAACAUAUACUACGCACUAGCAUGGAUCUCUCUGGCAAUGUUUGUGAUUUCAGGACUUUGCAUUUGGAACUCAUCUACAAUCACAAGGUGGAAUUAUAUUUUGCAUAUCUUACAGCACUGUCAUGAAUAGCAGCAAGCUGUGUGUGAUUGCUAGCUUAGAGUGGGUUAUUUCUGCACUGCACCAAUCUACCUGGAAUUUGAUACAGCAGUUACUGGUGAUGUCUUUCCCAUUGGCAGCAAAGGUUCAUUGUUGCUCCAGCCACCUUCAAUCACAGCAUCACAAGUUCAGGCUUCAGGAAUAUUAAAGGAUUCUCACAAAAGAAGACUUUGAUGAAUUCAGUGAUGCAUUAAGGACAGGUUGAUGCCGUGCUCAGAAAAUGAUCUUUAGCUCUGCAGCUGAGAAGUGAUGAAAAGGAACAAUCAAGCCCUCUUCAUGAUGCUUUGUCCUUGCAACACCACUGUAUUUCAGGUCCCUCACCCUCGUGGCUUGGCCAAAGGCACAAACAAUGCAAAGAUAACAAAGGAUGAUGCCCAUUGGUCUAGAAGAAUCUUUGGCUCCUUCAGGCACAUAAAAGGCGACAGAUAUUCAAGGAACUGACUUCACUGCAAUGAGAAUAAACCACCUCUAAAAUAAACCACAAGUGCCACAACCCUCUUGGCUCUCAUUUGCCUCCUGCAGUCUGAUCACAGGAAUAAAGUAUGAGAGCAUGAAGAAGCUCUCCAGUCAAGCUGAAAAAGGAGGAGUUGACAAGCCAGGGAAAUGUUCUCCUGUAACCUUGAACUUGUAUUCGCUUCCCUCUGAAAACAAGAUGUCUCAAGGCAGACAGGGGUGGAGGUGAAGUACUUCACAACAUCAAUACCAUGUUAUAAAUACCUCAGAACUGUGGUAGCCUGAAGGUUUUGUGGACUCCAUGGAAUUUAAAAUCAACCUACACUAAAGUAUUUCCUUUUUACACUAAAAAAAAAUAAAUAAAAAUAAAAAAUCUAUGUUCAGCUUGUUGCAUUUAUAAAUUGUUGGAAAAACAGCUACAUGAAAGAAU
rnacentral:lncRNA from 1 species